CCACAUGUGUCAAACUCAAGGCCCGCGGGCCAGAUGUGGCCCGCCACGGCAUUUUAUGUGGCCCGCGAGUGCUUAAUUGGUCUUAAAAUCUGUCUUAAAAUAGGUCUAUGCUGCUUUUAAGCGUGCAUUAACCAUAAACUACAUUUCCCACAAUCCAUGGUGAUUGUUACCCGCGAAGUGACGGCAUCUCGCCACUAGAUCGCAGGUGUAUCCAGUGUUUAAUUAAUGCUACAAGUGAAAUUGAGAAUAUCCACAAAUGAUCCCGAUAUGUCCAGGAAGAGAAAGAUUGAUGCAGAUGGAAGGCAGUUUCAAGAAAAAUGGGAAGGCGAAUACAUGUUUGUGCUUCAAGGAGAAAAACCGGUAUGUCUUUUGUGUUAUGAGGCGGUGUCGGUCGUCAAAGAGUACAAUCUACGUCGCCACUUUGACACCAAACAUGAAGCCAAGUAUGCCAAAGUUAGCCUUCAAGAAAAACAACAAAUUGAGGGCAAACUAAAAGGCAAACUGCGAUCGUAGCAGAAUGUGUUCACCAAAGCCACAACCAAAAACGAUGCAGCAGUGAAAGCUAGCUUUAUGGUGGCUGAAGAAAUCGCCCGCGCUUCAGUCUUUUUCAGAGGGUGCGUUUUUGAAGCAGUGCAUGCUGAAGGUGUGUGAGCAGGUGUGCCCCGACCAGAUACAGACUUUUAAAAAUGUCAGUUUGUCAAGAAACACCAUCGCGGACCGAGUCAAGGAGCUAGCAGCAAACCUGUCAACACAGCUGGCCGAAGAGUCACGCAGUUACACAGCUUUUUCAUUAGCUGUUGAUGAACGCACAGACAACACGGAUACGGCACAGCUAAGCUAAUAGAACAUGAUCAAUGGAUGAGGAUGGUGGAGUGGAUCCACUUGGUGUGUUCAAGGACAGGCAGCAUAUCCUCAUCAUUUUCAACUCAUAGUUGUGAACUGAGACAACCCUAUUUUAUUAUUUUGAGUUUGUUACAUAUACUGCUUUUUGUGUAGUAAUGUAUUUGUUGUUUACAGGUUUAUGCACACAAAUGUUUACUCCUGCAAGGCUGUGUGCAGCCAUUUGUUUUUGUAAAAUGCUACAUCUGUCACACAUGUUCUUAGCAGCUCACUAUAGUUGGUUGUACGUUAUUCUGACCCUCUCGACUGUGACAAAAUGUUUUUGAAGGAAGUUAAUGUGUUUUAAUAUUUUUCUUUGAAUAGUUUGAUCAUUGAUAAAUAGAGUAAUGUGGGUUUCUUAACCUGACAAAUUAAAAGGAUUUAUGUUAUAGUAACAGAGCAACAAGCAACACUUUUUUUUUUUACAUCUAUGCAAAUGCAUAUGUAAUAUGUAACUAAGUAAUAAAUACAGAAAGUUAUUUAACAAUAUA